AUCAAAAACAUAGCUUGGUGUACCUUUAUACUAGGUAAAUUCUGCUCAGUGAUUAAUUAAACAGCCGCAGUACACUGACUGUGCUAAGGUAGCAUAAUAAGUUGGCUUAUAAUUGAAGUCUAGUAUGAACGAAAUUUAAUGGGUAGAAACUGUCUCUUUAAUUUUUUACUGAAUUUACUUAGAUGGUGAAAAUUCCAUCUUAUAUAUAAGAAAGACGAGAAGACCCUUAGAAUUUUUAUUAAAGUGUGAAUUUCACAUUUUUGUAUUAGCUGGGGCGGCUUUGUAUCAGUUAACACACAAUUUAACUAUAUGACAAAUAAAUUUUAUUUUAUUAGGUUAAUUACCUAAGGGAUAACAGCAUAAUCUUUUUUUUGGUUUGUGACCUCGAUGUUGGAUUAGGAUCUACUUUGGUUAGCCGCCAAAGCAGAAAGUUCUGUUCGAACUGUAUCACCUACAUGAUCUGAGU
rnacentral:rRNA from 1 species